GGCGGCAGGCCUCAAACAUGCAAGUCUAGGGGGUGUAGCAAUACAUCACCGGCGGACGGGUGCGUAACACGUGGGAAUAUACCUUUCGGUACGGAACAACUGCGGGAAACUGCAGCUAAUACCGUAUACGUCCUAGCGGAGAAAGAUUUAUCGCCGAAGGAUUAGCCCGCGUUCGAUUAGCUAGUUGGUGAGGUAAUGGCUCACCAAGGCGACNAUCGAUAGCUGUUCUGAGAGGAAGAUCAGCCACACUGGGACUGAGACACGGCCCAGACUCCUACGGGAGGCAGCAGUUGGGAAUCUUGGACAAUGGGGGAAACCCUGAUCCAGCCAUGCCGCGUGAGUGAUGAAGGCCUUCGGGUUGUAAAACUCUUUCGACGGGGACGAUAAUGACGGUACCCGUANAANAAGCUCCGGCUAACUUCGUGCCAGCAGCCGCGGU
rnacentral:rRNA from 1 species